AAAGCAUUCUCUGGUGUUGAAGGCCCUGCAAAGCAGCAUCGCGGUGGCGGAGCGUCGUUUGCGACGCCCAACACACAAAACAAGCGGUGAGUGCUUUGGGGUGGGGUGACUGCGUACCUUUUGUAUAAUGGGUCAGCGACUUAUAUUCUGUAGCAAGGUUAACCGUAUAGGGGAGCCGGAGGGAAACCGAGUCUUAAUUGGGCGUUAAGUUGCAGGGUAUAGACCCGAAACCCGGUGAUCUAGCCAUGGGCAGGUUGAAGGUUGGGUAACACUAACUGGAGGACCGAACCGACUAAUGUUGAAAAAUUAGCGGAUGACCUGUGGCUGGGGGUGAAAGGCCAAUCAAACCGGGAGAUAGCUGGUUCUCCCCGAAAGCUAUUUAGGUAGCGCCUCGUGAACUCAUCUCCGGGGGUAGAGCACUGUUUCGGCUAGGGGGCCAUCCCGGCUUACCAACCCGAUGCAAACUGCGAAUACCGGAGAAUGUUAUCACGGGAGACACACGGCGGGUGCUAACGUCCGUCGUGAAGAGGGAAACAACCCAGACCGCCAGCUAAGGUCCCAAAGUCACAGUUAAGUGGGAAACGAUGUGGGAAGGCUCAGACAGCCAGGAUGUUGGCUUAGAAGCAGCCAUCAUUUAAAGAAAGCGUAAUAGCUCACUGGUCGAGUCGGCCUGCGCGGAAGAUGUAACGGGGCUAAACUGUGCACCGAAGCUGCGGCAGCGACGCUUAUGCGUUGUUGGGUAGGGGAGCGUUCUGUAAGCCUGCGAAGGUGUCCCGUGAGGGAUGCUGGAGGUAUCAGAAGUGCGAAUGCUGACAUAAGUAACGAUAAUGCGGGUGAAAAACCCGCACGCCGGAAGACCAAGGGUUCCUGUCCAACGUUAAUCGGGGCAGGGUGAGUCGACCCCUAAGGCGAGGCCGAAAGGCGUAGUCGAUGGGAAACAGGUUAAUAUUCCUGUACUUGGUGUUACUGCGAAGGGGGGACGGAGAAGGCUAUGUUAGCCGGGCGACGGUUGUCCCGGUUUAAGCAUGUAGGCGGGUGUUUCAGGUAAAUCCGGAACGCUACUAACGCUGAGGUGUGAUGACGAGGCACUACGGUGCUGAAGUAACAAAUGCCCUGCUUCCAGGAAAAGCCUCUAAGCAUCAGGUAACAUCAAAUCGUACCCCAAACCGACACAGGUGGUCAGGUAGAGAAUACCAAGGCGCUUGAGAGAACUCGGGUGAAGGAACUAGGCAAAAUGGUGCCGUAACUUCGGGAGAAGGCACGCUGAUACGUAGGUGAAGUCCCUUGCGGAUGGAGCUGAA
rnacentral:rRNA from 1 species